rnacentral:rRNA from 1 species
UACAGAGGGUGCGAGCGUUAAUCGGAAUUACUGGGCGUAAAGGGCGCGUAGGCGGUCAGCACAAGUCAGUUGUGAAAUCUCCGGGCUUAACUCGGAAAGGUCAACUGAUACUGUGCGACUAGAGUGCGGAAGGGGCAACUGGAAUUCUCGGUGUAGCGGUGAAAUGCGUAGAUAUCGAGAGGAACACCUGCGGCGAAGGCGGGUUGCUGGGCCGACACUGACGCUGAUGCGCGAAAGCCAGGGGAGCGAACGGG